ACGUAGGGAGCGAGCGUUGUCCGGAUUCAUUGGGCGUAAAGCGCGCGUAGGCGGCCUCGCAAGUCGGUUGUGAAAUCCCGGGGCUCAACCCCGGGACUGCGUCCGAUACUGCGAGGCUGGAGGUAGGUAGGGGAGAUCGGAAUUCCUGGUGUAGCGGUGAAAUGCGCAGAUAUCAGGAGGAACACCGGUGGCGAAGGCGGAUCUCUGGGCCUUACCUGACGCUGAGGCGCGAAAGCUAGGGGAGCGAACAGGA
rnacentral:rRNA from 1 species